UACGGAGGGUGCAAGCGUUAAUCGGAUUUACUGGGCGUAAAGGGCACGUAGGCGGUUAUAUAAGUUGAAUGUGAAAGCCCUGGGCUUAACCUGGGAAUUGCAUGCAAAACUGUAUGGCUAGAGUACAGUAGAGGAGAGUAGAAUUUCCGGUGUAGCGGUGAAAUGCGUAGAGAUCGGAAGGAAUACCAGUGGCGAAGGCGACUCUCUGGACUGAUACUGACGCUCAGGUGCGAAAGCGUGGGGAGCAAACAGG
rnacentral:rRNA from 1 species